rnacentral:lncRNA from 1 species
CUAACACUAUUAAUAGCUUUACUUUCACUGAAAGCACAUUUCAUGGAAACAGUUAAAAGUCACUCAUCUCACUAAUAAAAAUGCAUUUCAGACAUUUACUAUGUAAAUUAGCAAAGCAUCAGUUUCAAUGGAGAUAUAGAUGACAAAAGUGCUGUACUGAUGGGAGCCACCUGUGGAAUAUAGGGGUUUGAGCAGACAGUCAGCUAUUCCUCCUAGACUGUGCAUGCUUUGAUUAGAUACAUAUAGCACCUGGCUAAAAUUGUAAUCUAAGUAUUCUCCAUAAAAUUUCACACUGUAUAUGUGGAAGUUUUUUAAAGUCAACUAUAGAUAUAAUAGUAAUUCCAAUUUCAAAUCAUUAUCUUCAUCUCAGAAACUUUUAGUCCAAUUCCAGACUCAUAUGCAAAUGAUUCCCCCCAAAACUCAACCUGCUAAAACUGAAUUUCUAUUUUCUUCCCGCAAACCCCAAUUUUACUCUUUGAUAUUUCUUAUUCUGUUUUUUUAAUGUUUGGCCAGUUAUCCAUUUUCCUAGCAUCCUAUACACAUAGGAUCAAUCAGCAAAUCCUGUCAGUGUUGGUGUCAAAACAUUUCAAUUCCUAACUUUAUCAUUUACGAGCUAUAUGACAUUGUGCAUGUUUCUUAACCUCUCUAAACCUCAGAUCCCUUAUCUGUAAAACAGGAAUAAUGACAUCUGCUUCACGGGCCUAGUUGAGGAUGAAAUGAGAGAAAGUGCCUGCAUAAGGCUUGGCAGGUAAUAAAGACUGCAUAAAUAUUAAUCUUCCCCCUCCAACACUCUUUAUCCAAACCACUGGCAAUCUUCAUUGACUGUGCCUUUGCUUUUAAAAUAAAUCCUAAUUCAUUUACUCAACAAAUAUUCAUUUGGACCCUUAUGUGCUCAAAACACACCUAUGCAAAGUGCUGGAAACACAAUUGUGACAAGGUAGACCUUGUCCAAGCUCUAAUGGA